UUCCUACUGGCUUAGAUGGUAAAGAAUCUGCCUGUGAUGCAGGAGACCUGGGUUCAAUCCUGAGUUGGGAA
rnacentral:tRNA from 1 species